GUACUCUUUUGUUUGCUUUCAAGACAUAGGACGACAGGUGUAAAUGGGCGCCUCCCCGGGGGGAGACGCCCUGUUGUUCACAGUUGUUUGGUUUGAAGAGGCCCGGCAGUUCCCCGGAGUGGGUCACGUGCCAAGCCGUCUCGUAUCAAUAAUGAUCCUUCCGCAGGUUCACCUACGGAAA
rnacentral:misc_RNA from 1 species